GCCGCCUUUUAGAAAUGACAUACAAGGCGGAGUGUCAAUUGGGAACGAAUGAACGACACACACCAGGUAAUAUCACUCCGUUCUAAUUAAUUGCUGUGGAAUUGAAAUGGCGACCAGCCUGGGUAAAUUGUGGGGUCGCCCGGAGGAUAAGUCGAACAAAUAACGCCAGCACUCACUCACCGAAAACCCUCGCCAGAGACUGACUUCUCUCUCUGCUCUUUGGAAAAGUUAAACCAAGUGCUGAACGCUGUGUGGAGCUCCAAGUCCGCCUUUAAACUUGAGCAUUUUUUUUCUCAAAAGCAGGAUUCUUAGAAACAUUUAAAAUAAAAAAUAUAUAUAUAAGGCUCCAAACCCAACCCAAGCACCAAAGAAAGAAGAAACAAAAAAUAAAACACUCGUUAUUUUGUAAACAA